rnacentral:rRNA from 1 species
GACGAACGCUGGCGGCGUGCUUAACACAUGCAAGUCGAACGGUGAACCAGGGCUUGCCCUGGGGAUCAGUGGCGAACGGGUGAGUAACACGUGGGCAACCUGCCCCAGACUCUGGGAUAACUCCGGGAAACCGGGGCUAAUACCGGAUACGACCUCCUUGGGCAUCCUUGGAGGUGGAAAGUUUUUCGGUCUGGGAUGGGCCCGCGGCCUAUCAGCUUGUUGGUGGGGUAAUGGCCUACCAAGGCGACGACGGGUAGCCGGCCUGAGAGGGCGAACGGCCACACUGGGACUGAGACACGGCCCAGACUCCUACGGGAGGCAGCAGUGGGGAAUAUUGCGCAAUGGGCGAAAGCCUGACGCAGCGACGCCGCGUGAGGGACGACGGCCUUCGGGUUGUAAACCUCUUUCAGCAGGGAUGAAGCGAAAGUGACAGUACCUGCAGAAGAAGCACCGGCUAACUACGUGCCAGCCGCCGCCGUAACAC